AUGGAAGCCCUUGAGCAAGUGGUCAUGCACCGGCAAGUGAACGAGGAUGAAGAUGAUCAAGUCUUUUGUGACGAAGAUUCGAGCCCCGCUUUCGUUGUCUCCAAGGUCUUGACUCUUCAACAUCAACAAGAAGAAGACCAAAGAUGCCUUAUCUUCCACACCAAGGCUGGCAUCAAUGGAAGGUCCGUCAAGGUCAUCAUCGAUGGAGGGAGUUGUCAUAACUUGGCAAGUGAAGAACUAUGCUCCAAGCUCCAAUUGGUCAAGAUGAAGCACCCACACCCAUACAAAGUUCAAUGGCUAAGCGACUCCGGCACUAUCCAAGUCGAGCAUACGGUCAAGGUUUCCUUCAAGAUCGGAGCUUACGAAGACACUUUAGAGUGUGAUGUCGUUCCGAUGUCCGUUUGCCAUCUCCUUCUUGGAAUGCCAUGGCAAUUUGACCGAGGCGUCAUCCACAACGGGCGUACAAACCACUAUAGCUUCAAGAUGAAAGGAAAGGAGUAUCUGCUACGACCUAUGUUUCCAAGCCAAGUGAUUGCUGACAAGCAAGCCACCCAUCCUGGAGAGAAUAGUGAGAGAGCGAACCACCCAAAAGAGAGUGAGCGCUACAAGCCCAAAUUGAGUGCCUCCAUGAUGAGCGACAAGAAGAACUUAGUCCUAUUUGCCACCAAACGUGAGAUGAGAGACGUGUGUGAGAACCAAUCAAGUGUCCUGCACUAUGUCCUUUUGUGCAAGGACGAGGCACCAAAAGCUAACACCUCUCACAAUCUACCUUUAGUGUUGUCUUCUCUAUUGCAGGAAUUCCAAGAUGUAUUCCCCGACGAGCUACCUCCGGGUCUACCACCACUACGAGGAAUCGAGCACCGAAUCGACCUCAUCCCCGGAGCACCCCUUCCUAACAAGGCUCCCUACCGUGUCAACCCCAAGGAAACUAAGGAGAUCCAACGACAAGUACAACAACUCAUCAAGAACGGCCAUGUAAGAGAAAGUUUGAGCCCUUGUGCCGUCCCGGUAAUCCUUGUUCCCAAGAUAGAUGGUACAUAUCACAUGUGUUCCGAUUGUCGUCCUAUCAAUGCUAUUACCGUGCGUUGUCGUUUCCCCAUUCCACGCCUAGAUGAUAUGCCUGAUGAGCUUAGCGGAGCCACCAUUUUCUCUAAAAUUGAUCUUAAAAGUGGCUACUAUCAAAUACGCAUCCAAGAAGGUGAUGAAUGGAAAACCGCCUUUAAGACCAAAAUUGGCUUAUAUGAAUGGCUUGUUAUGCCAAUGGGUUUAUCCGAAGCACCCGGUACUUUCAUGCGACUCAUGCAUUUUGUCCUUCGACCCUAUAUUGGUGUAUUUGUUGUGGUCUACUUUGACGACAUUCUUGUCUUUAGAAAAUCCCUCAAAGAACAUGUCACCCAUAUUCGGAUCGUUUUGCAAACCCUUAGGAAAGAGCGCCUUUAUGCUAAUAUGGACAAAUGCCUUUUCGAUGUUGAUAAGCUUGUUUUCUUGGGUUUUGUUGUGUCUCCUAAGGGUGUUCAUGUUGAUGAAUCUAAGAUCAAUGCUAUUAAAACUUGCCCCAACCAACCAACUUGCAACAAGUGCGUAGCUUCCUUGGUUUAG
rnacentral:rRNA from 1 species